rnacentral:rRNA from 1 species
CCUAGGGAGGCUACAGUGGGGAAUAUUGGACAAUGGGCGAAAGCCUGAUCCAGCCAUGCCGCGUGUGUGAAGAAGGCCUUCGGGUUGUAAAGCACUUUCAGUGGGGAAGAAAGCCUUGGGGCUAAUACCCUCGAGGAAGGACAUCACCCACAGAAGAAGCACCGGCUAACUCCGUGCCAGCAGCCGCGGUAAUACGGAGGGUGCGAGCGUUAAUCGGAAUUACUGGGCGUAAAGCGCGCGUAGGCGGUCUGAUAAGCCGGUUGUGAAAGCCCCGGGCUCAACCUGGGAACGGCAUCCGGAACUGUCAGGCUAGAGUGCAGGAGAGGAAGGUAGAAUUCCCGGUGUAGCGGUGAAAUGCGUAGAGAUCGGGAGGAAUACCAGUGGCGAAGGCGGCCUUCUGGACUGACACUGACGCUGAGGUGCGAAAGCGUGGGUAGCAAACAGGAUUAGAUACCCUGGUAGUC